rnacentral:rRNA from 1 species
GUAGGUGGCAAGCGUUGUCCGGAAUUAUUGGGCGUAAAGCGCGCGCAGGCGGUUCUUUAAGUCUGAUGUGAAAGCCCACGGCUCAACCGUGGAGGGUCAUUGGAAACUGGAGAACUUGAGUACAGAAGAGGAAAGCGGAAUUCCACGUGUAGCGGUGAAAUGCGUAGAGAUGUGGAGAAACACCAGUGGCGAAGGCGGCUUUUCUGGUCUGUAACUGACGCUGAGGCGCGAAAGCGUGGGGAGCAAACAGGGAUUAGAUACCCUGGUAGUCCACGCCGUAAACGAUGAGUGCUAAGUGUUAGGGGGUUUCCGCCCCCUUAGUGCUGCAGCUAACGCAUUAAGCACUCCGCCUGGGGAUACGGCCGCAAGGCUG